UACGUAGGAGACGAGCGUUGUCCGGAAUCACUGGGCGUAAAGCGCGUGUAGGCGGAUGGGCAAGUCUGCUGUGAAAGCUCCUGGCUUAACCGGGAGUGGUCGGUGGAAACUGCCAAUCUGGAGGACGGUAGAGGUAGGUAGAAUUCCCGGUGUAGCGGUGAAAUGCGUAGAGAUCGGAAAGAACAUCGAUGGCGAAGGCAGCGGCCUGGGACCAGGCUGACACUGAGGUGCGAGAGCGUGGGGAGCAAACAGG
rnacentral:rRNA from 1 species